rnacentral:tRNA from 1 species
UUAAUUGAAACCAAAAAGAGGUAUAUCACUGUUAAUGAUAUCACUGAAAUCAAAUUUCCAAUUAAA